rnacentral:rRNA from 1 species
ACAUGCUUAUAGCACAACGUUAAUGCAAUGGAUCCCAUUAGAACUCUAUAGUUAAGCGCGCUUGGGCUAGAGUAUUACUGGGAUGGGUGACCACCUGAGAAGUCUUAGUGUUUUACAUGCC